AUGCAUGCACAUCAGGCUGCCUGCCAAUCGUGUAAGCUGGCCAACUAAGGGCAUACUAUGCAGACAGCACACUGAGCUUGGCAUAAAUGCGUCUAAUGAUGAGUUUGCUCCACGCUUUCUAAGGACUGUCCCCUAGCACUCACUGGUCCAUUCCUCUGCUAACCUCCUUACUAGCAGGCAGAAGCUCCCGUCAUACAGUCUGGGACAGAGAAAAGCUGUAUGUAGUGAGUGUAGAAGAAAGGGAACAUGCCACAGUGUUAGAGAGACUGAAGCAGCAAGAGUAUUUGCAUUGUGCACAGUCAGCUUUACCUUAACGAAUUUCAUUGUCAGCCAGUCCACACAAGUUUUGUUCCCAUACAUCCCUCUAAACUUUCCUUUCUUAAAAGGACACUAUAGUGUCAGGAAAACCGCUUGGUUUUCCUGACACUAUAGUACUCUGAGGGUGCCCCCACCCCCUGUGUCCCCCUCCCGCAGGACUGAAGGGGUUAAAACCCCUUCAGCUACUCACCCUUUUCCCCCACGGGCUCCCUUACUUCUCCCCAAAAAAAUCCCCACAAAAACUACUUACAUUUAUUCUGCUGAAUAAAAGAUGGAUUGUUCCCAGUGUCUCCCUGUCUUCCAGUGUCUUAGUGUACCCUAGUCUUCCAGUAUCUCCUAGUGCAGGGGUAGGUAAC